AUUUCAGUCACGCUUUCAUGGCCUUAGGAGAGAAUUUUAAUGUAACAUUUUUAGUUUUUUAUUUAUAAAAUACUGUAGACUAAAAUACGUGUAUACUGUACGUAAUAACGUUUUGUACGUAAAGGAACUCGUCACGUUUGAGGGUGUUGUACUUUAUUAACUAGCUUGCUGGUAUAAAUCAGUUUUGAUCUGCUUUACUGGCGUUCGGAAAUCACUGUUAUAUUUUUAUCACAAAAAAAAUGAGCUGGACCCUCCAAAAACCCUACAGGCUGCUCUCCAUCUCAGAGCUGUGAGAAGAGCUCUCUCCUCCUCUUCCUGGAGCUACGCUGCUCCAUCUGUCUCCUGCAGCUCUGGCCCACGGCAGGAGCAGCAUUAGAGCUAAGCAUUUGACACACUGAAGCUGCUGCGAGUGCAGGUACUGGGGACUUUCUGAGAGAGGGUAGGCAGCACCACCUUCUUUGCUGCUUCACGCCUGUCCAGCCAGUAGAAGGACACCAGUAGAAACAAGGCAGAUGAGGCCACCGUGAUACUGCAGGCCAGGAACAGGACAAUGCUCCGUCACACAGCCAGGUCAAUCAAAGGGUGGA